rnacentral:rRNA from 1 species
CCUACGGGAGGCUGCAGUGAGGAAUAUUGGUCAAUGGCCGUAAGGCUGAACCAGCCAAGUAGCGUGAGGGAAGACUGCCCUAUGGUUUGUAAACUCCUUUUAUGCGGGGAUAAAGGUGUCCACGUGUGGAUGUUUGCAGGUACCGCAUGAAUAAGGACCGGCUAAUUCCGUGCCAGCAGCCGCGGUAAUACGGAAGGUCCGGGCGUUAUCCGGAUAUAUUGGGUUUAAAGGGAGGGUAGGUCGGUCUUUAAGCUGGCCGUGAAAUUUUGUGGCCCAACCAUGAGAGUGCGGCGCGAACUGGAGGCCUUGAGUGCGCGGAAGGCAGGCGGAAUUCGUGGUGUAGCGGUGAAAUGCUUAGAUAUCACGAAGAACCCCGAUUGCGAAGGCAGCCUGCCGCAGCGUUACUGACGCUGAAGCUCGAAAGCGCGGGUAUCGAACAGGAUUAGAUACCCGAGUAGUC